rnacentral:rRNA from 1 species
CUAAGGCGAGGCAGAAAUGCGUAGUCGAUGGGAAACAGGUUAAUAUUCCUGUACCUCAAUGUAAUGCGAUGUGGGGACGGAGAAGGUUAAGCAAGCCGGGUGUUGGAUGUCCCGGUUCAAGCGUGUAGGAAGACUCUUUAGGCAAAUCCGGAGGGUCAAUUCUGAGGCGUGAUAACGAGUGCUCUAUGAGCGCGAAGUUGCUGAUACCCAGCUUCCAAGAAAAGCCACUAAGCUUCAGUUGUAAUGAGACCGUACCGCAAACCGACACAGGUGGGCAGGAUGAGAAUUCUAAGGCGCUUGAGAGAACUCGGGUGAAGGAACUCGGCAAAUUUGCACCGUAACUUCGGGAGAAGGUGCGCCCCGCUAGUGUGAUGAGACUUGCUCUCUGAGCGCGAUGGGGUUGCAGUGAAAUGGUGGCUGCGACUGUUUAAUAAAAACACAGCACUCUGCAAACACGAAAGUGGACGUAUAGGGUGUGACGCCUGCCCGGUGCUGGAAGAUUAAAUGAUGGGGUGCAAGCUCUUGAUUGAAGUCCCAGUAAACGGCGGCCGUAACUAUAACGGUCCUAAGGUAGCGAAAUUCCUUGUCGGGUAAGUUCCGACCUGCACGAAUGGCGUAACGAUGGCCACACUGUCUCCACCCGAGACUCAGCGAAGUUGAAAUGUUUGUGAAGAUGCAAUCUACCCGUGGCUAGACGGAAAGACCCCAUGAACCUUUACUGUAGCUUUGCAUUGGACUUUGAUGAAAUCUGUGUAGGAUAGCUGGGAGGCGAUGAAGUGGGAACGCCAGUUCUCAUGGAGCCAACCUUGAAAUACCAGCCUGAUGUCAUUGAGGUUCUAACCUAGACCCCUGAACGGGGUUGGGGACCGUGCAUGGUAGGCAGUUUGACUGGGGCGGUCUCCUCCCAAAUUGUAACGGAGGAGUACGAAGGUAUCCUAGGUACGGUCGGACAUCGUACUGAUAGUGCAAUGGCAAAAGGAUGCUUAACUGCGAGACUGACAAGUCGAGCAGGUGCGAAAGCAGGUCAUAGUGAUCCGGUGGUUCUGUAUGGAAGGGCCAUCGCUCAACGGAUAAAAGGUACUCUGGGGAUAACAGGCUGAUUCCUCCCAAGAGUUCAUAUCGACGGGGGAGUUUGGCACCUCGAUGUCGGCUCAUCACAUCCUGGGGCUGUAGCCGGUCCCAAGGGUAUGGCUGUUCGCCAUUUAAAGUGGUACGUGAGCUGGGUUUAAAACGUCGUGAGACAGUUUGGUCCCUAUCUGCCUUGGGCGUUGGAAAUUUGAAGGGACCUGCUCCUAGUACGAGAGGACCGGAGUGGACAGAUCUCUGGUGUACCGGUUGUCACGCCAGUGGCAUUGCCGGGUAGCUAAAUCUGGAAGAGAUAACCGCUGAAAGCAUCUAAGCGGGAAACUCGCCUUGAGAUAAGAUUUCCCUCAGGCUUUAAGCCUGCUAAAGAGUCGUUCGAGACCAGGACGUUGAUAGGCUGGGUGUGGAAGCGCAGCAAUGCGUUAAGCUAACCAGUACUAAUUGCUCGUGAGGCUUGAUC